GCCAACUGCCAUAAAAACAGAAGAAGAAGAAGCACAUCGAAGGAGAAAGAACGAACAUGGAUCCCGACCGAAUGUCAACCAGCAGGUUUCGGUGAGAAAAUUGUGGUAAAAAGUCGCUUCUUACUGGAGAUCAGCUGAGCUUGUGCCACCCAUAAAGCUGCCGUCGACUUCCCUAAGACACUGCGCAUCAAGAAACCCGUGGACGUACACCUCCGACUAUCAGACGUCCAGCAGGUGUCAGCAGAGAGUCAUGAAGAGAUUCCCUCCAAGCAGCAGGAGUGGAGCUCCAGUGUGGGACAGAAGGAGCUACAGGCCACUUCCCACAUUAAAGAGGAAGAGGAGGAACUGUGGGAGCAGCUUCAAAGGUUGGAGGAGGCUAAUGAUGAAGAUGAAGCUCAGUCCUUACAGCUUCAACAUAGUCAAAGUGAGGAGAACAGAGGGGCGGAGCUUGUAAGUCAACACAUCACAGAAGCUGAUGGAGAGCAUUGUGAAGAUAUAAAGUCACAACCAGACAGCCUCUUUGCUCCACUGUCAGACAUGGACCACAUGAUGUCAGACUCUUCUGAUCACAGUGACCACAUCCAAAAAUCUUUGGAGAGGAAAAAUGACUCUAAAGGUGAUACGAGACAUCACACUAACAACAAAAACUUUGACUGCUCUGAAUGUGGGAAAUCAUUUAGAAAGAGGAGUAAUUUUACAGUACACAUGAGAAUACACACUGGAGAGAAACCUUUUACUUGCUCUGUUUGUAAGAAAAGUUUCUCCAAAAAGCAACACAUGACCACACACAUGAGAACACACACUGGAGAGAAACCUUUUCCUUGCUCUGUUUGUAAGAAGAGUUUCUCCAUGAAGCUUGACAUGACCACAUACAUGAGAACACAUACUGGAGAGAAACCUUUUACUUGAUCUGUUUGUAAGAAUAGUUUCUCCAGAAAGCAACACAUGACCAGACACAUGAGAACACACACUGGAGAGAAACAUGUUCCUUGCUCUGUUUGUAAGAAGAGUUUCUCCAGAAAGCAACACAUGACCACACACAUGAGAACACACACUGGAGAGAAACCGUUUAGUUGCACUGUGUGUGUUAAAAGGUUCAGGUUUAAGAAUCAGGUCAGUGAGCAAAAGUGUGUAACAGUCAUGGAAGCUGCAAGGAUUUAAAAACACUUAAACGGUGUUUGUGCUGAAUAUACUUAAAAAAAACCCAGCAUGUUUAAUAUGAAAUUAUAUUUUAUAUUGUAUGUAGUGCUUCUCAUCUUCUACUGUUAUAUGUAGUCCUGGAAUCACUUCUAAUGUUGUGUGCAUUUAUUGAAUAUCAUAUAUGUAGCUACUAUUUUAUUUUAUUUUCUACUUGUUAAAGAGAGGACAUCUUAUUAUUUACUCUUGGGUUUUUUUUUCACACAUUUUCUUCCAUUGCAUUUUUAUUGAUGUUAUUAUCCAAUUAAAAGUAUGAAUGAA